rnacentral:lncRNA from 1 species
UUUUUUUUUUUUGUGCUUUGCUCUUUCAAUAGUCUGAAACUCUCUGAAGAGUCUGAAGCACAAGAAAAACGAAAGGAUCUUUUCUUUUAACAGCAGUGGCUGGCAGGUUGAUCAUGGCGGCCUUUGUUUUUACUUACUGCACGUGCCAAGUAGAAUCGCCGACGUGUCGUUUUGAUUACAGCGCUGGACGGUGGACUUCCUAAUGACGGAUAUGUCCUUGUUAUAUAUUAUUAUAUCCGUAUCAGUUUGUGAUCGCAUUAAAUUUCAAUUAUUAGUAUCUAAAUUUAAUUUAAAAAUUAUUUAAAUUUAGCAAGCCAAAAUAAAAAACUAAAAGUAAGGUAAAGCUAGCAAGCAAUUUUGGUAUCUGAGCUAAUUAUCUACGAUAAUAUAAUUUAGUCAAAUUAGAUAUUUGAUUAUGUGAAUCUGCGGGUUUUAAUAUUAUUCUCAUAUGUAAACUAUCAGGGAUAACCAUAAAUAUUUGACUCUGCAGUUUCCAUUAUUAUGAUGCAUGAGGGUUGGUUUUGUCAUUUUGAAAUUAUACGGUGACGUCAGCUGUUUUGGAAUUAUUCGGCUGAGUCACGUGUCGGCAAGAGCAGUUGUUUUAGAUUUGGAUAGUGUGGGGCCCAGAGUUUCGGGAACGUUCCUGAGUGGGACUUAUUUGUUUUGUCGCCUUCUGAAUCAAAGAGCGACACGUGGAAAUCUAGAGGCGUGUGGAGACACGUCGGACAGUGAGAUGGGAUUCCCCGUAAGCUUUUUUGUGGAUAACGUUUGCAAUUUGGAUUUUUCUUUUCCUGUUUUUUUUCUUUCUUUCAAGUAAAGAUAAAGAUGGAUUUGUCAUCUUUGACUUGACUCAAUAUCUUUCCACUGUAUAAAUAAGAAUAAUAUAUAAAACAUAUAUCGAUUUUGCCAACUAAUAUUUCAAAUUUACUUUUGUUGAAUAAAAUAUAAUUUUUAAGGCAAUUUUCAAGAUAAAGCUUUUUUUUUAUAUUUAUAGAAAUGAGUUAACUUUUUGAUUAUUUAUUGAAAUAGGCUAAAUUUUUUGAAGGCACGUCCACGUAGCACAAUGUCAAGUGACAUGUAAACAAAACGCAUCCUUAAGGAUUUAAUUAACCUAAAGUUAGGGAUUUUUAGUUUCAAUGUACUGAUUAUAUUUCCUUAGACUUAUUCUUUUAGUAUAAAUAGCUAUGUAAAUUUUUUGUUUUAUAAUUUAAGAAAAAAAAUUUCUAUUCUCAACAUAGAAUCUAAAUCUAUCAUACAUUAUUUAUUUAAACUUUUAUUUUCUAAUGAAUAUUUUGACAUAAUAGAUUCUAAUAUUUAACCAACAAAUAAUGUUAUUUAGUACAAUCUUCGAAUUCAUAUGUUAUAAAAAAAAAUGAGAACAUCCGACCCGCUCACUCAAUCACAUAACGUGAAUGCAGCAACUUCAUCAAACUUACAGCAACACAAGCAAAACAGAUGAUAAGAAACUAUGCUUGCAUGGAAGGGAUGAUUCACCCAAUGCUAAGACUUCGAUUGCAUGUAGUAUCAAAGUUGCUAUUGCUAAAAAGCAUUAUUUUGUGUUUGUAAAUUUAAUCAUAAGCAGCAAGGCUAUUUGUCCAAACCAUAUAAUAGCAACCUUCAUUCCAACAAACUUUUGGCUACUGGAAAUAUGGGAGCUAUAUCAACGGGAACCUGAGAAAUAGAUGGAAGCAAACAGAAUAUGAACAAAAAUGCUCAAAAUAGGCACUUUGAUCCAAUCUUUCUACCAUAAUUGUUUAUCAGAGGAUACAUUGGCAAGUUACUUAUAUUUCUACCGAAAAACAAAUCAUAUCAUGACAUCAUCGACCUUCAAAGUUUCUUACUUGUUCGGCAAAUGAGUUAUUUUACUUUAUUUUAUUUCAAUUGCCUAUAUGAACCUACAGAUAUACUGGCACCUAAGGCAAAUUUUGAUAUAUGAGACAUUAUAAGCCUAAAGCUAUUUUGCUCGGACUCAGAGGUGUCUAGCACAUACCUCUAUAUAUCCAUGUCCUAAAUAUGUAUCAGAGAAAAUAAAGAGUUGAAUGCAUAGCUAUGCCAAUUACAUAUUUUGGUUUACAUUUCAAAAGCUAAGCCCUCUUCAGGGUAUGAUGUGGGCAUGUAGAUUCUCUAGUCAUGCUGCUUCCUAUUUAUAAAUCUAGUGUGACAAUUGGGGAAGCAAGCAGGUCCUUGUAAGUAUUACUGUUUUAUACAUAAAUAUUCUUUAUUUUUAACACCGGUUGCUGCCAGAUUGGUAUAUCUCGAGGUUUCUCCUUCAUGUUCUUUUCAUUUUCCAUCUCUUAUACACUUGGGUUUAUGACUUUAUACCACUAGGAUGUAAGCUCAGUAGCAAUUUCAGUCAAGCACAUGUGCAUCUUAGAGCAAAUCUAUCCUACGUCUUGAAGUAUUUGACACUCGUGUCUGAGCACAUCCAAACAUAGGUACGAGAAUAUGAUCACACUCGUGUCUUGAACAAAAUUGAUCAUACCCGUGUUGGGCACAUCUAUCUAACAUUGACAUUCAAAUCCGAGAAUCUAUCCGUUUUUAUCCCAAAAAUACGAUAUAUAUUAAAUUUUGAAAUAAAUUAGUAGGCAAACCAAGUGCAAGUAUUUUAUCAAUAAAAGUAUACUUGAAUGUGGCAGGAGGACUUACAUGAAUGGAUUCCAACUUUUGCAAUGCAACUUUCAAUGGCUUUGUCAUGGUGCAGUAUUUCUGCAGAAGCAAACUAGCACCUUCUUUGUCACCCUUAGCUUGUAUGGUAAGUAUAGUCCUACUCAAACUUUCAACUGCUUCCUCAACCUUCCAAAAGAAAGCACUAUUUUAGGCGGAAAUGUUUUAACUAAAAAUAUUUAUGUAUGAGAAAAUCUGAAGGCGCUGUACCUUGUCAAAGUUGACAGAAAAUGUCUCAUUGGGAUGGAAAACAAAGGCUUCCUUUUCCAAUAACCAGUUAAAUUGUAAUGCUUGACCUUUUCUGAAAUUAUUCAGUAAAUCAAGAAUGGUCAGUAACAAUAAUUAAAAAUAUUAUGCCAGUGAACAGUUAAUGGUUCGCUUACCCAUGAGCUUCUAAGCCAAACCGAACUGAGCGAAAGCAUCCUGCAAGGAAUGAAACAUACAUGGACUUUUCCAGACUAGUCGGAAGUAAAUGCUGCUCAAAGAUGUCAAAACAAACAGAAAGAGCCUUAGUUUUUCAUAGUUCUUUUUAAUAUCAUUUGUCAUAAAUGCAAAAAGUGUUGACAUAAACAGGCAACUAAUGCACAACUUUUUAACUAAUUCAACAUGCAAUAUAGAUUACUUAAACCGUUAUCUCUUCCAGGUUCCUUUAUGAUAGUACAAGGUUCAAGGUAGAAGUUGAUUCCAAAUGUCCCUUACUGGGCAUUUGAGACUAAAGCUUGAUUGAGAACAAACGUUCCAAAUAGAUAAUGAAUAGCACUACAUUACUAAAAAUUGGAUGCAAAAGAUUAGUCAGUGGUGGGACUAGCAAGGUAUUACAUUUGAAAACCAGCGAUCUGCACAAACUCCUUUCUAUCCAAACUCUUGCCCUCUUCAAGAUUUUCUCAUUAGAGGUAUUACUUGAAAGCCAUUCAUUUCAAGGAAAUAAUAUUAAAGAGUUUCAGAGAAAGGAAACUAUACUCAACAGCCAUCAGACAGAAUAUACUCACCAAAAAGAUCACAUCUAAUCGAAUUUAUGAUAAUUUUUUUAAAGUUCUGUUCUUACACAAACUAGACACAUGCUGAUGGGAUGUUGAAGUUCAAAAAUGUCGCAGUGGCUGAAAAAUUAAAAAAGAAUAGCCAGCCAACUACUUUAUCGUCAGUUGGUAGAGUGAUGAACACUUAGUCUCUUAAUCCUAGUGAACCGGGUUCAAUCCAGGCAAUCUUAAGUACCAAUAAACAAAAUAAUGAAAAAAAAUCCAUAAGUAACCCUCAGAGCGAUGUGUAAACAUUCUUUCAACUUUGCAUGUCAAUUUUUGGAAGGGGCAGGAAAGCAGUUAUCCAAUUGGAUACUUAGAUUUGAUACAUUGCAGCAAUUAAAUCAUUAUGCAGGUGUAAAGAAAUUGAACCAAAAACCUUACUUUCGAAAAGUACUUUUGGGCUGACAUGGGAUACAAAUUUUCAUAUUCCAAUGAAUGGUCACACUCAAAAAAAAAUGUCAAGCCAGUCUUACUCAAAGCAACUAUUUCAAUACGAAAGAACUUUUUGGCUGACUUCCAAGAAACCUCAAAACACUCCUUAAAUGACUGCACAAAUUUCUAAACUCCACAAUCUAUGGCCUCUACUCUCAAGCUUAGCAUCUCACCUUGAGUUGACUUAAAACACUCUUUCUAGAAUGGGGUUAGAAUCUAGGUAGAAUAUUUUUCUUGAUGUCAUUUUUGGUUGUGGUUGUGGUUGUGGUUGGAAGUUGUAAGCAGUCUAUUCUUAAAAGUAGCAGCAGAACUUUGAGAAGUUGAAAAUACUAGUAAAAUGCAGAAAAGGAACUAAAGUUGCUAUCCCAAAGAUAAAGCAUUUGAAAAAAAUAAAUAAAUAAUUGCGAACUGCAUCAGCUAACAUGUAUGGGUCUUCUAAUCUUGAUAGUCACAAGUAAUUAUAUCAUAUAAAGGAAAAUAAUAAAACUUGGCUUUUUUACCAACCUUUUUUAUUAGAAAGUUCAGUGCCCAAAGACCCACUAUGUCUGCUUUUGCUUCUUCCAAAGCCGAGUGUAAAUCUUGAAGCUCCUGUAAGAAACAGUAAAAGAAAAACCAUGGGAUACCAUAAAUAAUUAGAAUAAAUCACUUCUUUUAAGGAAAAUAGUAACUUCAGGAAACACCAUCCAACUUCAAAGAACAAUGUCAAUAUACAGAUUAAUGCAGAUAGGAGGUGCUCUUCCAUCGUAAAUAUUCAAUGCCUGUAUGUUGUGAUUAUAUUACUUCCUUUAUCUUUCUUUUACCCCUUUGUCUGAAAUCACACAAACCUCUACCUUCUGUUCUAUUUAAGCAACUGUUUCUCGCUCAAAAAUAUCACAUGAAGAUGCCCAAGGUAAGUAGUCAUUAUUCAUGUUUAGAAAAACAAAACUUCAGUCAUAAACAAAGCUUAUUUCUUUUCUAACCAUUUUCAUCACAAUGGCAUGUAGAAUAAAUGGAUAAACCAGCAUGAGUGAGCUGGACAGUUGAUAUUUAAUUAUAAUUGGACAGAUAUGAUUAAAUACUAGAUUUUUUUUCUUCUCCUCUAGACAAACACAUUCUAAAAACAGCUAAAUAAAACAGAAAUAAAAAGGAAACAUUAUAACUGACCAAUCUAACAGUAGACUUUCGGCCAUCAGGAAGGGUUAUGGUAUGAGGCCCAAUCCCAUGGCAGCACUCAUGGCAGAUUGUGUGAGUGAAGAAAGACUCAAAAUCUACAAGUUCGUGUUGUUCCUUUGCAAUACAUGCAUCAGCUAUGGGAUUAAGAAUCUGUUUGAACCUUAUUAGGAUGGAAAUAUCAAACAAUGAUUUAGAAUUAUGGUAAAUAUAAGCCACAACGUAUUGGUAAAUUGGACCAACUUCAACAAUGAUUGAAGAAAGUUUCGCACUUUGCUUCAGAAACAUUCUUAAGUAUAACCAUUGCUGUUCCUCGAUCUUUAACUAUACGCUCAUCAUUUGGUAGAUUGAAAGCAAUAGUCUGAGGGCCCUUCACAUCCUGAUAUAAAUACAAAUAUGUUAAAACGCAUAUCUAUCCAAGAUAAAUUAUUACAUACAUAAGAAUGGAAGCUCUAGAAAAAUUUGAAACUAAUUAAGAACAAAAAAUACAAACAUGUGGUUUUCCAUACUGUACAUUCCAAUCUAUGGAAUGAAAAAAUAAUUUAAAUACAAUAGCAACUCUGCAGCCAUAAUUAAUUGAUAACACUAGCAGGCAACAGCCACAAUUCCUUUUCUACUUUGUCCAAAAAAGUGAAUUCAAGGAGCAAGAGUAGCUUGUUGAGUUUCAUUCUUUCCAUCCCCAUUCCUAGAAUCCACUAUUGAUAAAAGUGGUUAGACAUACACACACAAGUAUGUCUAACCACAUUUGAUAUUUCAUUCAAUCUCUUAUUGUAUUUGCGUCUUAGCAUUUAUCAUGUACAUUGAGUAAAUAUACAAAGGAAAAUUCAAGAUUAAAGGGGAUGGGGAAGGAUUAGCAUCUAAACCAUGAACACACUGAAGAAAAUAUUCAUACAUUUUGCAGCCCUCAAAACUUCAGUUACAAAAUGCAAGCAUACAAACAUUUGCAUGCAUCUGUGUAAACAUAUGCAUCACUGCCGACAAACCAAUCUGAUUAUCAUGAAAGACUUUUCUCAAUGAACCCAAAACUUACCCCUGCAUUAAAAAGAAGCUGGACAACACGAAUUGGAGCAGCAAUGAUAUCUUUUGAUUUAUAUGUAUCGUCCAUAGGAAGGUUUUGUUCCAAAACCUAAAAUAUUAAAUAUUUUGUUAGAAACAAGCAAGCGACCAGAAGAAAUGUCUGAGAAAAUUUGAUAUGAAUGAAUUACCUGCAAGUUAUCACCAAACAAUUUAAGUUGAGCAGUUGCUUUUUCAUCCCGAACUCCAAUAAAUGCUUCGAACGUAGCCUAUGCAAAUCCGUGCAUCUAAUUAGCUAUACUAGCAUCCAAAGAGAUUCAUAUAUUGCAACAAUAAAAUUACAACAGGUUACAAACUGAUUUCAUCCUUUAUUACGUGAACAUGGACAUAAGCAUGGAUGCAUGCAAGAGUACGUGAAAGCAAUCAGACACUAAAUCAAUCAUUAGUUGAUAGAGUGAGUCAAAUAAAUAAAUCUAAAUAAAGGACAGAAAAAGGAAGGACAAUUGAAGGGAAUAAAAUUAAAAACGCAAAAGAAAAAGCAACAAAGCAUAUAAUAAAAUAAGUCAAACAAAAAGCAGCACAAGUGCAUAGUAGACAUUUGCAUAUAAGUGGAAUGGUACAAGUUUGUGGAGCACAAGCACAGGACUACAAGAAAGUUGUCCUUGGGUUUUCAAUCAGGGGAAAGCAUCAACAUAAAGACCUCAUAGUGCAGACGGGUUCCAAGGUCCUUUGUGGAUUAUGCAUCAUGAUUGACAGAAUCUCUCAUUUUUAUUUUCUUUGACAGUCAUUAUUCAAGAGCAGUUUGGAAGAUUACACUGACUAAUGCAGUAUUCAGGUAGUAUUGUUAGUUGGAACGAAGAGAAAAGUUUAAAAAUAGCAAGAUAUAUAUGGGAGGUUCCUGGGAGAUCCAUGAUUAAAGUUUCUCGGCUGUUACACUUAUCAGGUUUUUGGCGGAAAUAAUUAGCAGAAUCUAUAAAAAUAGCAGUCAUCCAACCUCAGGGUGCAGUGUUAAAAUGGACAACCCAAGAAAUGCUACUUUCUUUAAGAAGUGAUACAUUAGUGUUUGUAAUUGUUGUUCGAUUCUGUUUUUUCUCUUGUUUUUCAAGUAGGAACCAAGCAAAAAGUCCCUCUGCAAUAGGUUGUACAAUUUUUAGUUCAAAUAAAAUAGUUCUAUAAAGUAGCAAUUUGAUACAAACACCAAGAAACUACCCAUUUGUCAUAUCGAAAUAAAAUAGAUUAAUCUAAAAUUUAAAGUUUAAACACUCUAAGCUUUAGUCAUAAAGGGGGUGAAUUGGGCCGUGUGUAGAAGUGGGCAUCUUUGGUUCUAGUUCCCAGUAGGCGACCCUCUAUUAAAGGAGUAGAGGCUCUUCCCUGGCCAUUUGUAUUAUUUUACCGUCUUAUAAUUCAAUGAAGAAAAGGUGAAACUCCAUACUUUAAGCUUUUACAUUUUCCACUGGUUUUCAAUCAGAUUUCCCACUCUUCAUUUUACUACCAAACUACAGUAGAUAGUUUUUGACCUUUGGUAAAACUUUCAAAGCAAACAGAUAUGCUAGCAAAACUACUAACAAAAAUGCUAAUAGAUAAAUAACAUCAUGAAUUCAGGCUACAAUAGGAAACAUUGACCUCUUCAAUCAUGCUUUACUCAUCAUAUUAAGCAAUGUUAAAAGCUGCUCACUGUCAACAAGAAUUUGUUUUUCUAUACAAAUUUUAAGGAAUCGAAACCCAUAAUUCUUAAUGGAAAUGCAGAUCAUGCUGCUUAGUAUUUAAUUUGUAAUGGUCAAUUUAUUUAUUUUGAGUUUCUUUUAAGAACAAAUGGUAGGCUUGGACUAUGGAGUUGGUCUCUAUAAAAUAAAUAAUGGCCUUUACUUUAGGAAGGAUUACACUAUGCUAUGGAGACAAAAUUAUCUACAAGUCAGAUUUACUUCACUUUCUUGUUUCUUUUCUUUUUUCUUUUUUUUUUCUUUUUUUGUUCUCUAAAUCAACUGCAAGCCAGUUUUCCAUUAAAUUUUUUGGAAGGAAAAGUAACUUUUGCUAGCAAGUGAGAACAUAUUUAAGAAAACAAAAGGGCUAGCUAAAUUGACUUGCAGAAAUCUCAAUUGAAUCCCAGUACUCAGAAUUUAGUUUAACUUAAAGAGAAAAAGAUAAAAAGAAAGGAGUAACCUUUUCAAAACACAACAUAGUACAUUCUUCAGUAAGGUAUUAAAAGCUGUCUCAAUAAGUAAAAACUCAAUAAGAAACAAAGCUAGCACAUAGAAACUAAAGAGAUAUGAGUACCUAAUCAGACCUCAUACAUUAUGUUGGCAUAAAUGCAUCAUAGUAUUGUAUCAAUCAUCUGUAUCAUUUAGAAAGAAAACAUACUGAAAUAGGUUUCUUCUGAUCCAAACUUAAGCAAAUAGCAAUCGAGUAAUUUGCAAGAAUGGAAGGUAUUGCUAAAAUUUUACAUUUUUAGCACAAUUCAUUUGCUUUUACACAAAUUUGAACCUUUCAAGCACCACUAUGUUACCAAUGCUAUAAUAUUUGUUACCCAAAGUCUAUUUGAACCUUUCAAGCACCACUAUGUUACCAAUGCUAUAAUAUUUGUUACCCAAAGUCUAAAUUAGACAUUUCAAGUUUGAGAAAAGCAUGUUUUCAUGCUACCUCUAUAAAAGAAAGUGAUACAUUGUAAAUAUUUCUAAAUAUUCACGAGGCAUUCUUACUUAAGUGAUACAUUGUAAAUAUUUCUAAAUAUUCACGAGGCAUUCUUACUUAGAUCAAGUUCAUUACCGUCUAAAUCUAAUGCUGAAUAAAAAGGACUGAAGUAAAGGAAAUAAACAUGCAUUUGAUAUGUGAAUAUAUUACCUUGUACCCAAACAGUGAAUCUUCAUAAGUUUCAUAUGGACCAAUGGUGACAUCCAACUUAGAAUCCUAAAGCAGGAAAUUCAAACAGGGAGAGAGUGAAGGCCCAGUGAGUUCAUUAGAAUAGGAAUUGAAUUGAAUACCAAAUUAAGCAUAUUGACAUCAAAACAAGAUGUUACUAAUAUUUUUAAAAUCAAAACAGAAAAAGAAAUGGUUGAAAAGCAGAGGAAAAAAAAAAGUUGCAGAUCUAUUAUCAUGAAUAUCCUUUUAAAUUAUACCAUAAUAAAUGUGAUCUUACAAUUUAUUCAUAAAUAAAAAUGAGAAAGUGCAUGAUAAGGGGAAAGAAAAAGAAUCAAAAUUUAGCAACAACUAACCAAUUCCAUCCAGGCUAUAUCAGAGUCGUAGUAGUCGUUUGAAAGGAAGGCAUCAGCCUUGCUAUGGAGCAACCUCUUCAAACUAUAAAGUUGAACGACUCAAGAGAUAUUAGUUGAUGGUAUAAGAUUUCAGAGUAGGAAUAAUAAACAAGACAUCAGAAGAAAAAACUGUCAUACUCAUACCUAGGAGAGCUGACAAGGUCCCCAGCUUUAUGCAACAGAUCCGAAACUCUUGCCAGGAAAGAAUGAUACUCUUGGGAGUACAGAAUGCUAUAAAGAUCAUAAGUAGACCCUUCUGAAAGAUGUGUGCUAUCAAAGAUAUGAUUGUCCCAACUUACUUGACUGUGCCUUUUAAUGACAGUGAAAAAACUCAUUGCAUCCUUUUGCUGGUCCAAGCUUAGACCUGUACUCCAUAAUUUAAAUUCCUAGAACAAAAAUGAAACUCGUCAGUCUCUAUCCCGUUUUCAAAAUAAUGCUAAAAGAUGGCUAAACUGGAAAUUUUAUAGUAUAGCCACAUGUAUAAUGAAAAACCAUUCUUUGCAGCACAUGAAGAAAUUCCUGUGUUACCAUUUUGUCCAUGUCAGGAGGGUAGAAGUUUGCACCAGAAGGUUUUAGCAUUGGAAAUGCUGCUCUGUAUUGUACACCUUUCCACCCAGUAAUAGGCUUUGUGGCUUCAGGAAGAAGCUUUACUGCUGAAUCUGCAGUUGUUAAAAAUGCCUCGUUUUCAUCAAGGCAGGACCUGUUGAUAAAGAAUGAAUUAUUAAUGAUAAAAAGACAUUCCCGCCAAAGAACAAAGCAGAAGGAAUUACCAUGGACUCUUAUUAAUCACAUAAUACAUCCAUUUCAGGUUGUCCAAUUGAGACACAUUGGCAUGCUCUUUUAACCAUUCUCUUAAAACUGGGUUGCUGUGCCAAACCUGAUUAUUUAAGGUGAAAAAGAACAAAGGAAAAUAUGAGAAUCUGAAGCCAUGUCAUCACAAUUAAGCAUUUACAUUAAGAUUGCAAUUAAAAUUAAGAAUGCGUUUACAACUAAGAUUGCAAAAUUUUGCACCAUAUCAAUACUUUUCCUUCCAAGCAACAAACGUUUUAGGUGCCUUAAAACAAUAAAAAUUAUGUAAAACUAGAAAAAGCAAUUCACAAAACCAUAAUUUUUGCAUAUCUAGACUGGGAAACAAUAUUUCAGAGUGUUAAGAUAUGUAAAUAAAAUAAUACUGCUGAUUAUUAGGGAUUAUAGCAAGAUAUUAGAAAUUUGAUUUUAUAUACUUUCUUAUAGAGUAGACUCAUACUUGUAUAUGUGUAUUGUAUGAUGAUGAAUGAUAUAUAUAAUUUCAUUCUCUCUUUCUCCUUGUGUCUCCUUAAUUAUUCUUUCAGUAUUUCGUUCAUGAUAUUAGAUCCUCUUGGCUCAAUUUAGGGAGUUCGUGUUUCGUUGUUUUGAACACAAACCAUUUGAGUAUUUUGUGAGUUAGCUUUUCAAGUUUUUUUGGGUACACUGUCGGCACAGGGAGGAGCACCACCAUCUCGACAGUUGCAACCGGAGGAUAAGCACGUGAGGCUCCCGCACCGCCUAAAGAUUUGCGACCCUACUUUACGCGUCGGUGCACGGUCAUCUCACCAACGGUUUCCACCCUUGAUGUUGACUCCUUUGUCCAACCCUAGCCCAGUGGUCAGUUGCUUGAUCCAGGAGGAUUUGUAGGUCAAUUUUUUUUAUGUUCUUUUUAGGUUUCGCAUUGUUUCAAUCACUGUUAGUUUUUUGGUUCUGUUUUAAAGCUGUUUUCUUGCAGCUAUUUGGCUCGAUUUGGGUUCUUUUCUGGCCAAUUUUUUUCUCACCACCCCCUUCAACAGAGUUGUAGUCCAAUCCCCGGGGAAACUUAAAAAUCCAGUGACCAAACUCCCUGCGUGUGGCCUUCACGCGCCACCCAUACCGUCCGCAUCCUUGCCCAUGCGCCGGCACAUUCAACUCACCUACGUCAAAUUUGAUUCUCCGACGACCACCGUUGGUUUUGUUGUUGUUAUCUCGCAUGGUCACGAUCGUGCUUAAUGUUUAUCAAAGCUAGAGGACUGCAGAGGUAUAUUACUGGUGAUUCGAAAAAACCCAUUGUAAAUGAUUCCACUUAUGAUCAGUGGGACUCUGAUAACUCUCUUGUUAUGUCUUGGCUUAUCAACUCUAUGCAACCCCGGAUUUCCAGAACAUACUUGCUACUUGACUCUACAGAAAAAAUAUGGAUGCUUAGAUUUUUGAAAUUCCCAAUAAAGUCACAACACUAAGCUAGGUGAGAUCACUGAGAUGUCAUUUUCUCAGUAUUUUUCUAAACUGAGUGGUUUAUGGCAAGAGCCCAAGCCCUUCUUUUACAAAUGUGUGUACCUAAAUGAUUUUGAGAUGAUGCCAUUUUAACAGCCACAUUUCUUAUUAAUUGUAUGACAUCUAUUCUUAACAAUAACAUUCCUUACCAUACCCUCUUUCCUUCAAAACUUUUGUUCUUUAUUGAGCCCAAAAUAUUUGGUAGCACUUGCUUUGUUCAUGAUGUUCAUCCAUAAGUCAUAAAAUUGGACCCAAAGUCGCUCAAAUGUGUUUCUUAGUUAUUGUCAACUUAAAAUGGGUUAUAAAUGGUACUCUUUGGAUCUUAAGAGACAUCUUGUGUCUAUUGAUGUUACCUUUUUUGAGCAUACACCGUUUUUUCCUAUGUCGUCCAUUUGUAAAUACUUCCUCCGAAAAUGAUGAUUUGUCAUUAUAUACUAUGAAUCGUCUAGUCAACUACUCUCAAAUAGGUAUGCUAGAACACAUAACAACUCGACCACCAAUCAUUCAUGUUUAUUCAAGUCGGUAAAAUCCUCCGGACACAUGUCCGCCUCUAGUCUAUUAGUCGAAAAAUUUGACCCCUAGUCAAUCUGAUUCUAGUAUCGACCUUCCCAUUGUCCUAUGUAAAGGUAAACGACAGUGUACUUAUCCUAUCUCCUUUUUUGUCUCUUAUGAUCAAUUAUCCCCUAUGACUAGCUUUUUCAUUCCUUCAUUACACUAUUUCUAUUCCUAAAACUGUAAGGGAGGCCUUAGCUCAUCCGGGCUGGUGAGAUGCAAUGAUAGAGAUGAUUGCUUUAAAUGGUAAUGGUACUUGGGAAUUGGUUAAUUUGCCGACUGAAAAGAAGGCUAUUGAAUGUAAAUGUGUUUACAGUCCAAGUUAAUCUUAAUGGUUUCGUUGCCCAAUUAAAAGUCUGUCUUGUUGGUAAAGGAUAUCCUCAAACCUAUAGAGUUGGUUACUCGGAUACUUUCUCUCCAGUGGCUAAGAUGGCUUAUGUUCGUUUGUUCAUUUCUAUAGCGGCAACAUAUGGGUGAUCCCUGCAUCAACUUGAUAUAAAAAAUGCCAUUCUGCAUAGUGAUCUACAGGAGGAUGUCUAUAUGGAGCACCCAUCUGGUUUUGUUGUUCAGGGGGAGAGUGCGAAGUUGUGUCAUCUUCAGAAAUCUCUAUAUGAUUUGAAACAGAACCUAUGAGCAUGGUUUGGACGAUUCUGUAAGGUGAUCCACUUGGAGGUAGGCAUGAUUCUCUUAGUAGUUUAUGUUGAUGAUAUUGUUAUUACUGAAAGUGAUGAUACAAAUAUUCUUGCUUUGAAAUCAUACCUUCAUACUCAGUUUCAAAUGAAGGAUUUGGGACAAUUGAAAUAUUUUCUUGGCAUUGAAGUUACUAGGAGUAAGAAGGGUAUUUUCUUGUCUCAGAGGAAAUAUACCCUUGACUUACUUGAAGAAACUAGAAAGUCGGGAUGUAAACCAUGUAGCACACUGAUGGAUUCCAAUUUGCAACUUAUGAAGGAAGAUAGUGAUUCGCUUGAGGAUCAUGAGAGGUAUAAGAGACUAGUUGGGAAACUGAAUUAUCUCUCAAUGGCUCAUUCUGAUAUCGCAUAUUUUGUGAGUGUUGUAAGGCAAUUCAUAUCUUCACCAACAGUUAGACAUUGGGUGACACUGGAACAAAUCUUAUUUUACCUAAAGGGAGCUCUAGGCUGUGGGCUUCUAUAUUAGAAUUGUGGUCACAUAGGCAUUGAAUACUUCACUAAUGCAAAUUGGGGAGGAUCAAGUAUCUAAUUCCUAGGAAAAGCAAGAGUUAUGGCACAAUCUGUGUGAGAAUUAUGUGGUUACAACUUACAACAGUUACUGGAUGAACUAGGAUUUAAAAAGUCGUCACCAGCAAAAUUGUGGUGUGAAAAUCAAGCUGCUCUUCAUAUAUCCUCCAAUCCAGUAUUUCAUGAGCGAACCAAGCAUAUUGAAGUCAACUGUCACUUCAUUCGUGAGAAGAUCCAACAAAAGCUCAUAUCAACAGAUUAUGUCAGAACAAGAGAUCAAUUAGGAGAUAUCUUUUCGAAAUCUCUUAGUGGACCUCGAAUUGAUUAUAUUUGUAACAAGCUAGGCAUGAUUAACAUCUCUGCUCUAGCUUGAGGGGAAAUGUUAAGAUAUGUACAUAGAAUAAUAUAGUUGAUUAUUGUGGAUUAUGGCAUGAUAUUAGAGAUUUGAUUUUAUUUACUUUCCUUACAGAGUAAACCCAUACUUGUAUAUUUAUGAAUUGUUACAUGAUGAAUGAUAUAUAGAGUACCACUCUCUCUUUCUCCUUGUGCCUCGUUAAUUAUUCUUUCACUAUUUGGUUCACCUAGAAACAAGGUUACAUUAGUAAAUUGUGUUAGUUCAGAAAAAUUAAGUAUUGAAUUUUUAUUGUAAAAGUUGCUUGCUUUUUUGCUGCAAAUUAAAUAUUGAUUAGAUUUUUUUUUGGAUAUGUUAUUGAGUAUUUUACAUAAAGAAAACUAAAAAGUAAAAGUAAAAAGCUAAAAAGGACAGAAUGGUUCAUAUAAUUAAAUGAUAAAAUUUUCCUUUAUGAGAAUGAUUUAAUUCAUUCAGUAAAUUUCUUCAUAUUUUCAACACUUCUCUCCACUGGAAUUCCAUUUAAAUGGUUUCUGAAAUAAGUUAUCAAACACAUUGAAAACAUCAGAUCAUUGAAACUUUUCACUAUCAAUGGUUUAUUUUGCACACCCUUAGUUUGCAUUUUGCAACCAGCUCAAAAUCCUAUAGUGAUAAUGAACACAUAUAUUUUGAAUUGCAUCCUAAAUACGUGUAUCAAAAUAUUUCUGCAAGUAACUAGAUGAUGCCUUUUUAUCUAAAAUUUAUUCAAGGUAGUACCAUUAGUGAAAGAAAGAUUCUACUAUACCAAUCUGGAAAUAUAAGUUGUUAUCCUUUGCAAUUACUUUCUGGGGUAUGAUAGACUUAUGCCUUCAUGUUCCUUAUAUCAUACCAAUGUCUCUACUACUUUCCUGUAAUAUUACCUGACAUAUUGAAUGCUCCUAUACCAUCACUUGACUCAUUGAACUGAAAACAACUUUUCCCAGGAGAAGCAAGAAGUGAAUUAUAUAUUUCAAAGACUACUGCAUAAGUGUUAUGAGUGAACUAAUCAAAAUCACCUAUAUUAUAAUGCAACACUAGCAAAGCUUUGUUAUUAUGAACCCAUCUGUUUGCUAACUAGGACAACAGUCAAAAAAUUGACUAAUCUUUAACAGCUUUCAACAUAUAUAUAUAUAAUAAGCAGAAGUUCUAUUGCAUUUGGAGUGUUGUUCGUGAAUAUUUUGCACUAGAUCAUCUACUCAGUGGCACAAAAUUUUCCUUUGGUUCAUGCAAAAAGAAACCAACUGUUCUAUUCUUACUACUGACUUAUAUAGACAUGCUACAAUACCAGAGCAGAUGUUUGAGCAAAUCUGUGUACUUGUGUGUGAGAUUUUUUGUCUACUUAUAUGCAUAAAUACAACCUGCAGAUAAAAGAUUUCAUCCAUAAUCAUUGCAGCCCUAACCAGUAAUAUCAGAGCCUCCUUGUCAGCAUCACCAAGCCCUGUUAACUGCAAUGAGGGAAUAGAUUUAGUAAAUAAUUCAACACGUACAUCAAGAAGGUCUGACUGUUAUAUUUAGGAGAGGGAAAAAUUACAAACACAAUAUUUGAAUGAAACAAUGGAAAUUGGCCACAAGGGUGGCUGUAGCAUGCAGAUAACUUACUCCUUUAUAAUUAUAAGCUUCAAUAUGUAUUCAGCUUUUCACAGGAUUACUUUUAAAGCAGAAAAGAAAGCAAUGGACCUUUUAUAAACUUAAAAGUGAUAGAAAGACCAUCCACCUGUAAACUAACAAAUUAAUGAACGUGAAACCAAAAGUGUCCAUAGGAUACAACACAACGCAUUCUGCUCAUAUCACACAAUGUCUACAUGCAAAUUGACUACAUAAAGCUUGAGGAUAAAAAUAUUGAGAUGGAUUGGAAAUAUAACAACCAAUAAAAGCAGGGUAGCUGGUAUUAAAAUUGCAGAAAGUUGACAACCUCUGCAGUGAGAGAAACAGGAGCAUAUCGACGAAGUUGCUUUUGUAGUACUAGACUGCGUGCUUCAUUGUUCUCUUUGUACCUUUAGCAAGUAUUUGAAUUGUUAACCACAACAUGAAAUGUCAACAUGAAUAUAACAUUUAGAUGAAUUUGACAAUUAUUUUAUUCAACAACAUGGUCGUAGUUACUCAGCUUACCUUUUUGUAAUUAUAUCAAAGAGAAGACCAUAUUGUUUAUUUACAUCAUAAGGAACAUAUUUAGGAUCUGCUUCAGCUAGGUGACUUCUAUAUUCCCCAAAAGAAAUGUAUUUUACAUCAGAGACUUCGGUAUCCUAUCAUAAAAAAAAAAAAGCUAACAAAAACAUUCACAUUUUCAGGUAGUUUUAUAGCAGGACAAAUCACUUAUCAGUAUUCAUUGUUUACCAUUCACCAUUCACAUUUUCAAAGCAUGACUUUCAUAUAUAAUUGUAAAGAAAAUGUAUAAUGAAUUAUUCAUUAAGCACCAGGCACCAUCAACAGCCUUAAAUUCUGAGAUUAAAACCAACUUAAAAGGAGGACAAUCAUGGUAAAGAUCGAAGUUUAGAAGGAUGAAUCUCAUCCAUAGAAUGAAGACCAGAGAGCUAUAUUGAUAUACUUCAGAAUAGGGAUUCUGCAGCAAAUCCAUGCAAGCCUAUUAGGUUCUAAAACAAACCAUAAAAAUGGAUUUUCUAACAAAUAAAUGCAAUCAAACAUUAUAGACUUUUAGGCUUCUCAUUUGUCUUUGUGCAAGAUGUUUCUCUUUCAAAAAAAAAAAUAACCCUUAAAAGAGGCACCAAAAGUUAAAUUGCACUUACGCUUUGGCAGUCCAAUAUGUUUUGGAAAGUUUUAGAGAGAGCGUUGUUCAGCUUGUUUCCAUAAAUUCAUAACUGACAAUGGCAUUUUUCUUUCAGUGCUCGCUUUAGUUCAGAAAGGGAACUUCCAAUCAAAUAAGAGUAAAAAAAUUACAACAUGAAAACAGACUGAAAUACAACCAAGAGUGGAAGGGCUUAAGAUCUAGAGUUGAAUUCCACUUGUUCAUUCAGUACAAGCAAUGUUUAAACUUGAGAUGAUAAAGCAUACCUACAACAGAUGUUUCACUGUAGUCAACUUUGUCACUACUGUAGAAAGGUUUGGAAUAUCAAGAAAAUUAAUCCAUACUCCACCAGAAAACCAUUAGAAAACAAAAUCCAUGAAAUUUUGAAUGAUAAUUCCGACUGUUAUUAACUAUUGUUCAUCUCAACAAUUUUCGGACAAUGAAAGUACUUUGAUAUGGAAAACAAAUACAGAAUUUUGCAUAUUAUAUAUAAUCAAAUAACAUUGAAUGGGUUGAAAUUUUCAACUGAGAGUAAUUAUUAACUUCAUUACCUGAAGCGUAAAGGCUUCUCGAGGAAUUGGCUCUAGAGUUGUUACUAGGUAUACAUCGCUGUAUUCAUUAUUGAUGAAUUUUCCAUUGUUUGUGACACUGCAAUCAAAUGUAAACAGCAUAUGUUAAGUCAAAAUGGAACUAAAAGCAUCACAAAACCACUUAAGCAUCUCAACAAUAUUGGGAUUCAUCAAUUAAACAAAAAUUCCAAGAAACUAAACAUGGAAUAAUAAUAGUAAUAAUGAUAAAUUGAAAGUGAUGCAGGACCUAGGUGAAAUCUUAAUGUCUAGAUGGUCUUAUCAUUGCAUAAGAUUGAUGCAGCUUACCUCAGAAAAACAAUAAAUCAAAGCACUCUUCUCUAAGAAAAAGGAAGACAAUACAACUAUGAACUUACAAUGAAAAAUAUAACACCAUUUUUCAGAGUAAAUUUAUGCCAAAUGCUAAUUGUAUAUUGAAAAUAUUGAACCCUGAUGAACACAAAACAGACUUGAAUUUAGUAAGACAGCAUUAACAUCAGAAAUUAAUGCACCAAUGGUUCUAGCAAAGCAACAAAACCAGAGAAAAUGUUGCCAAAAUCACCAAAAAAGCAUCAUAGUCAUCUGAUCAGCUGCACCAAUUACAUUCCAAGAAGAGAGAAAAUUACACCAAAACAAAAAGAUGAUUUUAUCAACUAACCACUCUUCAAGAAAAACAAAUAUCAACUCAAAUGCAUCCUUUGGGAGGAUCACCCCUAGUUCUUCUUGAAGCUCCCUCCUGAACAAGUAAGAUAUUUAGUAAGCAUUGUGUUUUAGCACUAGAUCAACCAAAAAGGGAUAAAUUUCUAACAAUAAUAUGUUCACCAAGUAAUAGACGAUGGAAAAAAUGGGCCAACAAGGUAAAAAGAAAAUCAAUGCAUGCUGAUCUCCAAAGAAUUUCUUGUGUUGAAAGUUACUACAAAGGAAUGGACAAUAAGAUAUUUAAAUAAAGAAAGAAAAGAGAAAAAAAAAAAAAAAAGACUCAGAUGUCUUCACUCCUCCCUAACAAAAAGGUUUCUUGGCCAUCUAGAAACCACUAGGUUUACCAUCAGUUAGGAAACUAUCAAUUAGAUAUUUAAAAGAAAUGUAUUAACCAAAUCUAGCAAGUAUAUAAAACAACAGAAAGUAGCAAUGAUAAACAAGAACAUGGGGAGAAUAUCUGUGCACGGCACACAUAGAAAGAUUAAAGACCGAGCAGUUUUUCAAACGCCCUAUGAAAGAAGCAGCACUGAAGACUUGUGAAAUUGGAUUCACUUACUGUGCUGUUAUUAGUGAUGAAUCACCAGCAGAUAUAUGGCCAGCGCUGGAGAUAUCCCACAACCCCGGCCAAGAGUCCUUGCAGUCUGCACGUUUUUGGAGAAGUAAUUCUUGUGUACUCUCAGCAAAAAUCCAAACAUGGACUGCUUUAUGGUAAUCCCCAUCUCGAUGGACAUCUCCCCUGCAAAGAGAUCACAAUAAGUUACAUAUCAAGAAACUACCAUUAUAGAGAAAUGCCAGUACAGAAAUCAUAAGCAACCUCUAACACACAAUAAUACUCAAAAUGAAAUAUUUUAUAUCAAAUGUAUGCCUCCCUAGCUCUAGCUUGCAAGUUUUCAAUUCCCAGUUCCAAUUUCAAGGACCAUAAGCAACCUCCCCCCACCAACCACACACACACUUGAAAACUUUCAGUUCUAUAAUCCAGAUUGAGUACCAAAAAAAUUAGGGGUUCAUUGAAAGGAAUUACAAACCAAAUCAACAAAUUAAGCUAUUACUACCAUUUUCAAGGAACCAGCUUAACUAAUCUCAAAGGUUCUAACAAACCCAAUUUACAGAAGCUGCAAAUAAUAAGUAUAGCGUAAAUUAAGUUGUCCUAUUAUUUUCCAAUUUGAUAACUGCAAAAACAUGAUUUCUGCUAAGAGUAAGCAACAGACAGUAUAGAAAAUAAAUAAAAGACCCGCUUGUAAAGUAAUCCAUUAUGUUCAAAGAUCAAAAACAGAUAAUUCAGAAAUGGAAAAGAAUGAAGGGACGUGCCUGGGCUUGGAAACGCCGGUUUUUUUACCGGUUUUAGUGAGAACGUCGAGAUACUCUACUUCUUCAAUGUAAGGCUCUGCCAUUGUUUCUUUCCGAUGAAUCAGACUUUGUCUUCGUUGACGAAUUUGGUAAAUUGCGUGCUUCUUUAUUUAGUCUAAUGGCAGUAGAUUCCGUCUUUCUUCUCUUCUUUAACAACAAAAGUAGGGCUUUUUUAUCACCAAAAAAAAAUUAUUAUUUAUGAAAAUCAUCAAGUUAAAAUUUAUUUUUCCCUUAUCAUUAGCCGAUGAUUGGCUGUUUAAAAAAAAUAAUUAUUGUUGAGCGCUAUCUAUAUGUAUUUUUUCAAAUAACGCAUAAAUAUAUGUAUUUUUUCAACUCAGGCGACACCGGAGUUGACGGAGCAAGUUCGGGCUAAUGACGGCCCGACAUAUCCAGCCCAGACAUCAAUUGGAUCAUCGGUCUGGUUUCAUAUUCUAAGUCCGAUUCGAUUAAUUUUUGCGUUUUUGUCUCGAUUUUGGACUCUCGAACUUAAUUUAUGAUUUCAGUUCUAAUUUUUAAAUUCAAUUACCAAUUUGGCUAAUUAUCUUACUUAAAAAUUAAUUUUUAAAAAGAUUAUAUUAAUUUUUAAUUAAUUUAAUUUUACUUUAUUAAAAUUAUUUUUUUCAAAAGUCACUUAGAUUUUCUAAAUUAAUUUUUUAAUAAAAUUUUUUAAUCAAAUUCUCUAGUUAACCAAUUCUUACAACCGCCCAAUUUAAUUCUACAUCAAAUAAAUCGACUCAAUUAAAUUAUUAUCUUUUGAUUUAAAUGUAGUCAGAUUAAGUUUUUAUUGAGUUAGCGAAUGGGUCAAUCAAACAUAUACAAUUAGGCUCUAGUAAUUAUAAUUAUGUCUAGAAGCAUUGUUAUGAUAAUUCGCAAUUACUUAAUCAUGAAUUUAAUCCACAAGUACCAUAAUUGAAAACUCGUUAUUGUAUACUUUUUUACGAAAGCAAUUCAUUCAACUCCUUUUUCCAAUUACCUCGUUAUGUGUGAAUUACCCUCAUAUGAAAUUCUUAAUUCCUUUGAAUUAAACUCAUUCACUCAAUACAAUCAUAUUUUAUCUCGUUGUCACAAUUGUGUAUUCUUAAUGAUUAAUAUUAUCACUGUCAACAAAUCACUGUUAUAAAUUACUUGUUCAAAAAUUAGCAACCCGUGGUCAUAUUUCAUAUUUAUCAUUCACACAAUUUCAAUGAGAAGAUAGUGUUAACUCUUUAAUUGAGCUAUAAAUUCUACUGUUGUUAGUAAAGCCAUUCCAUACACAAGUCAUUUACCCAACAUAUCAGCUAUUGGCUCAAUUAUCGUUAAAGCAUAAGCCUCCACUUAUAUCAAAACACAUGAGUUUUAGUGACUAAUUCAGUAUUUAGAUAAAUCACAGCAUAAAUGUCACAAGUAAAUUAAUUCACAAACAGAUUCAGAAUUAAUUUAUCUUAGGUGCAGUUCAUUGUAUUAUUCUGCCAAUAAAUACAUCUAUGUCCUACCUGUGAAGUCAACUGCUCUGAUAGCUAAAACUAGCAAUCUCCUCAAUUGGAAUUGUAAACAACAUAAUAAUCCAUCUCAGUAUUCAAAUCAAAUGCUCACUUUAAUUCUUUAUGGGAUUACAGACUUGUUUAGAUUAUCUGCUGAAGUAAGUUGCCUUUCUUGUAAUGUAAACAUUCUUACAAUGUCACUUACCAUUAGUUUGAACUUUGAAAAUUAAUGAGAUAAUAUUUGCUUGUUACAAUUUCGCUAUACAUGCAAAAUAUGAAAGACAGAAAUACAAAAACCAUAACAGUGAAAUAUGAAAUUUAUUUAUUAAUCAUUCAAACACAUAGAAAACAAUUAAAUUUUUACUAUAAUAUGGGUAUAUUUCCCAACAAUCUCUCUUGGGUACGACCCUCGAAAUACUUUUAUGUUCUGUUGCAACAAAUUUAAGUGCAAUUUCUACAAGCAAACAAGUCAGGUUGAAUUAUAGUUUGUUUACAAUAAAACACUUAGUAAAUAUUUCGACAAUCAUAAUUCACCAAAGGAUUGCUAUUUGGAGAAAUUUAUUAUUAAUUUAAACACUUAGUAAAUAUUUCAAAACCAUUUUUUUGCAAACGGGAUCGACUUGAUUUUGAAAACGAAAAAUAAAACGGGAGUCGCCACCGAUCCUUAUUAGGUGUGAUCAGAUCACCUUUGUUUUAAUAAAACAUUUUAGUUUACUAAAACAGUGUUUUGGUCUACGAAUUUUAAGAGAACAAGUUCUGGAGUCGAUUACGUGCGAGGAAGGAUUAGCUCCCCCAACACACCCAAGAAUUGCUACCGAAUUGUAACGCCCCAAUUUUCGAGAAUUCUGUGAAUGUUGGCAUAGGUUUAAUUAUGUUAGUGGGCCUCUAGAAGGCCCAAGCUUAAGAUAGAACCCGGCAAUUUUAGUUAAUUUUUGUUCCAUAAGAAAAAGGGGGUGAAAUUAUGAAAUAGAACCUAUGUGAAAAUGUUUGAAAAUGCUAUAGGCUAAAUUGAAGUGGCCAAAUAAAUAGGAGUGCAAAAUAGGAGGAUUUGCAUGACAAACCUCCCAUUUUACAUAAAGUGGCCAGCCAUCAUAUUGUUGUAGACAAUAUGAGCACUUGAUAUCCAUAAUUCAUGGUACAAAUUGAUAAUGGGUAGUUAAAUGUUCCAUGAUAAUGGAUUAGGUAAAUAUUCCAUGAUAAUGGGUUAGGUAAAUGUUCCAUGAUAAUGGUUUAGGUAAAUGUUCCAUGAUGGACAUUUCAUGUCUUUUGUAUUAGAGAAUUAAAUGGAUGAAAUAUGAAAUUUUAUUAAAAGAAAAAGGGGUGAAAAGAACAAAGUUUUGUCCAUCUUUGUUCAUCAUAGCCGAAAGUUAGAGAAGAGAAAGGAGAGGAGAAAGCUCUUGAAUGUUCGGUCACUUGGGGAAGAAAAUUGAAGGUAAGUUCAUGGUAGUUUGCUUCUAUCUUGAUGUUCAUGAGUUCUUCUUGAUUCUACCUUAACUCUUGAAGCAUAUUUUGGUUUUUAGUUGUGUUGUGAGCAUUUAGUCAUGAAUUAAAAUGAAGGAAAUGGUUGUUGUUUCAUGUUCUUUUGAUGAAAAAUGGAAGAUAGGUGAAGUUGAGCCAAGCAAAUGAGCAUGCAUGUGCCUUAGAUGCUAAAGGGAAAAAUCGGCUAACAUGUUGUGCUUUAAAAUGAUGAAAUGGAGAUUAUACUUAAGUAAAAUCAUAGAUAUAUGAUGAUUGAUUGGUGAUAUACAUGUUUAAAUAACAUGCAUGCAAGGUAUGUGUGAAAGAGUGAUUUGGUAAUAAAUCUACUUGGGACAACAGCAGUAAUGUGACUUUGGAAAAUCACCAUAAAUUGUGGGAGAUGAGUUAGAAGCUGUAUAAAUUAUGUAAUUAAAGCUUAAUGAGUCUAGUUUCAAAUAAAAUGAACGAGAACAUAUUUUGAAUUCUGUACAAUGAGAAAUUUGAUUCGUAAUGAAGAGUGGUCAAAUUAGUCAAACAGUGAAACAUGGGAAACUUUAAGAAAAAUCUGGUAUUGAUUGGCUAAACCAAAAAUUCUUAAAAUUUUAUGGAUAGAAGAUAUAUGAGUCUAUUUUCAGGUAAAAUUAACGGCACUUGAUUUGGAGUUUCGUAGCUCCAGUUAUAAAUGAUUUAGUGACUGUUGCUCAGGAAGACAGCUUGCAGUGAAAUUAUGAUUAUGUGGUAAACACUGACAAAAAUUUGUUAAUGAGUUGCUUAUUGAUUUCUUAUAAGCUUACUCUGAUCCGUAGGUGUGGUUGGCCGAAUAUUGUAAGGGGUUAAUAUGUAGUUCGUAUUUGAAUAGUUAGAUUAAUGUGUUAGUAAUCCAAUUGUAGGCAGUUCGUGUGUGGAUCUCGUCAGCAUAUCAUCGCAAAUAGGUGUGUAACUAACACCCUCUUUCUUAGUCUGGAUCGGCAAAAGUCGAAAAGCCGAAAUGCCGAAAACCGAUAUUUUGUAGAUUUGCGAGUGUGCGAAUGCUCGUGAGGUAAAUCGAUUAAUGUUUUUGGUAAGCUGCAAAAUUUGGACUGCAAAGUGCAUGAUUUCUGUGCCCUCGAUAUUUUUGGGCUUAAUGGGCCAAAAUUUGAAUGAUGGGCCAACGGGUCCAAUUCGGUAAGAACCCUCGGUACGUGAUUCUGUUAGUACGUGAAAAGUAGGAAUAUGCAUGAAAAACCCUAAAAUAGAUAAAUUACUGAAAUACCUUUAAAAGUGGAAAAUUUACAGUUUUACCCCUAGUAGAUAAAUUACCGAAAUACCCCUAAGGUUAAAUUGACCUAAAUGCAUGUUUGACUAUUGUUAUUUACUGCAUGCCAUGUUGUUAUUAUCUGAUGCAUGGGAUUGGGAUAUUGACGGAGGAAGUACUGAAAGUGGCUUGUCCACGUACUGGAGGCUUUGCCUCAAUUUACUGUUAACUGAGCAGUAAGGCUGCAACUGUGGAGUGUUGGGCUGGAUAGGUUGAGCUAUUCCCCACAUGGAGUGUAGGGCUGGUACGGGUGGAGUGUAGUGGUUGGUGGGUUGAGUAGUCUCCCAAAAUGGGCUUGCAUAUGUUAUUGAUGUUGCAUGUAUUUUGAAAUGGGCCUAUGGGCCAUGCUGUUAUAUGAAUAAGGGGCUAAGGCCCAGUUUAUUGUAAUCUGAAAAGGGCUCUUGUCCAGUACCACUGUUACCUAAAUGGGCUUAGGCCCAAUAGGCUUGAGCUGACUUGGGCUUUGAAUGGGUUUUCCUUACACACUGAGUUUCCCCAAACUCACCCCUUUUAUUUUCAUCCACGCAGGAAAUCCCCAACCAUAGUGGGCUUGAAGCUGUGAGGGAAUUCGGAGUGGCCACCCGUUCUGAAAGUUUGGUUUUCUUCUAGUGAACUGGACAUCCUAUUAUUUACGUUUGAAGUUUUGGGUUUUUAAAUGUAAUAAGGCCGCUUAAUUAUUUUUGAUGGUUUUAAUAUGUAUUACUAAGAUAGGUAUUAUUUAUUUUACCUGUUGAAAUUGGAUAGCUUUAGGGCGCGUUUUCAAAAAUAACAAUUGAUUUCAAAAUAACACGACAAUAAGCAAAGCUUCCGCAAUGAAAGUAUUUUCCAAAAUUAAUCACUUUUCCUAAAAAUGACAUAAUCAAAUCGGUUUCCUAGAAAUAUCCAUGACGUUAAGGUGUGGCAAUGGCGGUAUGCAUGUCUAGGAUUGGAUCCGAAGGGAGCUUGGUACUUAAGCAGCCCGAUGGACUCACCAUCUCUUUUCCGGUUUCCUACCUGGUGCACAGCUUCCAUUCACUUUAACCUAUAAUGAAAUUAUCUUUUAAAACACUAAGUAGGUUUUUCUGGAUCAACAAUAUAAAAUGUUUUGAACGCUUCGAUGUGGCAUGUCGGAUCCGGCCAUAACGUCUGGGCCGGGUUUGGGGUGUUACACGAAUUGAUUAGUUAGUGUCUUAAUGUCGAAAAUCGAAAAUCGGGAAUGAAUUUGAAAUACGAUCUUUUCUAUAAAUAUCGAUUUUAAAAUUUUUGAAUUAGCUCAAAACAAAUUUGUUUAAAGAUUUCCUUAUCUCGAGAUAUCGGAGUAUCACAUCCCGUAAGUUAGAACACAAUACCAUAAAUUCCCGAACACAAGGUCGUCUUUUAAUUUAAAUGAGAGUUUCGUGUGUUUUAAAACUUGAAAAAGAUAUUUAGCUAUUUAGAAAUAACGAGAAAAUCGAAACCCAGUAAGUUAUGGCACAAUUCCUCGAUAUCUCAAAAUGCAUAACAUUGCCUUAUUUGGAAAAUUUUGUUUUUGAAUAGUAGCGAAUGUAAUAUUUAAAACAACAAGUGUUAUUUAUUUAGGUUAAAAUAAGGUAAUUUAUUGGAUAAAUACAUUGGGGUUUAAUUCGCGAGGCAAAUAUAUGAGAUACGAUGAUAAAUGAGUAUAAACAAUAAUACAUGGAUGACGUCAUGUAAAAAUACAACAAUAAGGUGAAAAUGCAAGUGAACAAUUUAUGAUACAUGCGAUGACAAUAAUGGCUCACAUACAUCAUUCACAUACUAACAUUAAUGAUUAAUGAACAAAAACAUAUUUUGCAAUCUAAAAAAUAUAAAUAGUAUAAAGCAAGUCAAAUUGAAUAAAGUAUAAAAACUAUAUAUAUAAAAAAAAACUAAUAGACGAAUUUAAAAAUAAAUAAAAUAAAAGAUGAAAUUCUUUUAAAAUCAAUAAUGUAUAAAGCGAUUUAAGAAAAGAUAAUACAUAUAAUUUUUUAGAACCAACAAUAUAUGUACAUAAAAGCAUACUACGGGUAAUAUAAGAAAGUCCUAUAAUAAAUAAUAAAUAGAAUGUUUUAGAAUAAACAAAUGGAAAUUUGAAAGGUAUAUGAAAACAAUUUAAACUAAUGAAAUAAAUUUUAAAUAAAUAAUGCAAAAGAUGAUUUUUUUUUUUAAAAAAGGUACUCUUAAAGUAUAAAUAUGGUGGUUUAUAAAUUGCUAUGAAUAAUGUUUUCGGCAUAAGAUAAAAUAAUAUAAAAUAUACAAUAAAAAAAUACAAUUUAACACAUCAUUUAAUAUUUAAAACAAACAUGCAAACUAAAAGGCAAGCAGUUUACAAAAGGGAACAUAAAAUAAAUAAUUAAUAUAUAUAUAUAUACAUUCAACAUUAUUGACAUAUAACACUUGGAAUAAAUAAACAAAUAAAAUAAAUUUAAGAUAAAUAAAUAAAUGAACAAUGUGACAAAUCUUAUAAGUAACACAUGAAAUUUUAAACUAAAUAAAUAUAACAUCUGAAUGGUCAGCAAAUCAAAUGUAUAAUAACAUGAUAAAACAAUUUGAAUAAAAGGGUGAGGGCUAAAUUAAAAUAAAAAUAAAAUAAAACGGGUAUAAAUUAUAAAAUAGAAAACUGCCAGCGACUAUAUUGAGAUACGCGCGAAGAAACAGGGGUCAACUGGGCAAUUACCCCAACCCUUAAUGCGCUGCGUUUCAAUGUUCAGUCCAGGGGUCAAAUCAGAGAUGGAAUAAAAAUGAUCGAGCUAAAUUUAAAAGAAAAAAAAACAAAUCAGGACUAAAUCAGAUAUCAGAAAAAGGGGGAAUGACCAAGGCCUGCAAUUUCCCAUUUAAAGGAAAAACGCGGAUCCCCCCGGAUACGGGUCGGGUCGCGAACGGGCACACCUAAAACGAUGCCGUUUGGGCACUUAGGUCACCCUUCAAAACGCUGCCAUUUCAUGCAGCAGAUUUAAGCCCAGAUUUUUUUAAAAAUUUUCAUUUUUACAGUCUAUUUUGCAGAAAUUCCAAAAUAUAUUCUUCUUUUUUUAGGGUUUUAAAACCCCUCCAUUUUCGCCUAUUCCAUGGCCAACCAUGGAUUCCCCGGCGAUCCUCCAUGCCCAUGCCACGAAUCGGUGACCGGUACUACACGAGGUGGGCUCCCUUUGGUCCUCCUCCGAACGGAGGUCGAAGGCGGAGCCUUCGCGGCCCACCACGACGGAAGAGACGAGGAAAGGCCCCGGGCGGUUCGUUGGAGCACCCCAAGCAGUGAAUCGAAGGUACCUUUUUUAUUAUUCGUAUUUUUUAUUACUGUUUUGUGUGUAAAGAAAAUGAAAAAGAAAUAAAGAAGAAAGCAAAUCUCAGUGGAAAAGAAUGAAAAUCGAAACUCAACAAUAAUCAUCUUUUGAAAUUGUCUAUUUUUUGGAUUAAUUUUGUUUGGUAAAUGUCUGUAACCGUUUACAAAGCAUAGAUUCCGGCUUUAAAGCCAAUCUAUCAACCGUUCACUUCCUUUUUCUUUGUUCUUUUGUUCAUUAUUUUCUUUUGCAUGCUCUCUGUUGUUGCAUCUGAUUUGAUUGCAGGUGUCAGACGUGAAAGGCCAACGGUUGGCUGGUGAGAAGGCGAGGUAGCGCGCGUGAAGGAGGCCGAACGGCGCCUAGGGUUUCCCUCUUCUCCUUUGGCUGAAAAAUGUUUAGGAUAGUUGGGCUGGUUGGGCUUCAGGGUUUUCUUUUAAUUGGGUAUUGGGUAAUUUGUUAUUUGGGCUAGAUGUAAUGGACUCUUGGACUUUUAUUUUGUUUAUUGUAUUUUGGGUCUUAUUUUGGUUUGUUGGCAUGGGCCAAAAUUGGCUAUAACAGCUGCCCCUCUUUGCUCAUUCUCGUGUAAUGAGAAUGGAGCAAAGACAUUAAAAUAGCCAAUUUUGCCUAGUCUAACUGGAUCUUGGCUUCUUGGUGCUUCUUUUCUUCGAGUAACCUCGCUCCAUCCUACUGCAUCUUCAGGGGUAUUGGAAUUAAUUCUAUGGUUUGCUCCAAGGUAAUUUCAAGGAGAGGAGACUUGUAGCUUCGAUCAACUCUGUUGGAACUUCAAAGGGCUAAGGCUUGAUAAUUUCAACCUGCUCCACUGCGUCUUUAGGGAGAUGAGGUUUGCGACUCUAACCCGCUCCACUGCAAUUUCAGGGAGAUGAUAAUGGCUUUAAUUUGCUCUACUGCAACUUCAGAGAGAUAAGAUUUGCCAUGGUAGAUUUGAUCCGACCCUACUGCAACUUCAAAGGUAUAGGAUUUAUAGCUUUAAUCUGCUCUACUGCAACUUCAGAGAGAUAAGAUUCGCUAAUUCGAUCUGCUCCACUGCAACUCCAGAGAGGCAAGAUCUAUAAUUUUCAGCCUAUUACCCUACUGCUUAGGGGGUUAAGGCUUGGUGGCUUGAAUCUGCUUCACUGUAACUUCAGGAAUGCGAGAUUCAUCGUCUCUGAUCUGCUCCACUGCAACUUCAGGGAGGCAAGAUCUGUAAUUUUCAACCUAUUACCUGACUGCUUAGGGGGUCAAAGCUCGUAAACUCAGCUUGUUACCCUACUGCUUAGGGGGGUUAAAGCCCAUCAUCUUCGAUCUGUUUCCCUACUGCUUAGGGGGUCAAGAUCUGCGAAUUCACCGAUGUUGCUACACCAUCCUCUAGGGAUAUGAUCUGUAAAAUCGGUUCCAGGUAACUAUGCUUAUGCCAAAUAAUUAGGAUGCUAUGAUCGAAAUGAAUCAAAUGCUCCUAACUAGAUGUGUUAUGAAUGAUAUAUGAAUGAAAAUGUCAUUAUUUUUAAUGCUUGAUCUGAUAUUACUCGUCGUUCACCGAGAUUUUAUCAAUGACAUAUUACUCUGCCUUUUUUUCGACUGGUAUCUCUGGCAGAAAACCCGAAGAAUAAUCACAAUUUGGGCUAUUCUUUCCCUAACACUUCCAACCCUUAAGUUUGGGUAAUUCAAACCAAUUAGUUCCGUGUCAGGUCCUUGUAUCAUUUAGAAGAAUUUCAGAGUUAUAUGCAGAACUCUUUUUGAAUAUUAUUAGUCCAUUAAUCAUCAUUUUAAUGAAAGACGCUUGAAAAAGAUUAUCGCAGUAGGCAAGAUGGAAUUUUAUUGAGAGCGAAACUCAAGAUGAACAAGGUAAUCAAGAUAGGAUAUUUGCUAAUAUACAAAAUGAGAACCUAUGAAUUAAUCAAUGUAGCACAUUCUGCUAAACAGAAUGAAUAAGAUAAGAAUAGGUGCCCUAGAUAUCGCAGUAUAAGCUUCGUUGCACAAACUUCUCAAGGACCCUUUGUGUAACAGCCUAAUUUUCAGUGGUGUCGGAACAGUGAUUUAAGAUCACUAAAUCCGACAAAUGAGUAAGAAAUAUUAUUAAUUUAGUGAGUAUAAGUUAAAUGUGAAGUUAGAAAAAAUUUUGAAAUUGUGAAAUGUACAAAAAAUACAUAUAUAUAUUAAAAUAAUUAGAAUUGAAAACGAGGUAUCGAGACCUUGGGAAUUUUAAAUCGAGCCAUAAAUAUUUUUAUAAAUAUUUAUGGAGUCUUAAUAAGUUAGUAUUAAAGUUUCGUCAAGAAAUUUUAAAGUACUGAUAGCUAAUUGAACAAAAAGGACUAAAUUGUAUCAAAUGCAAAAUUGUGGGAAAUGAUUAAAUAGCUUAAAUGAUAAAAUAAAGAGGGUUUAAAAGGAAAAUAGACCCAAGUUAUAUUUGGGCUGGACGGCAAGAGCAUGAAAUCACCAAGAAAAUAAGGGCAAAAUUGGAAAAUUGCAAAAUUUACUUAAUAAAGCAAGGACUAAAGUGGAAUUAUCUAGAUUUCUCUUUAUUUUUCUGCACUCUCAUCAGCAAAAACACCAUAGAAGAGUUUCCUUAAGCUGGUUUUUCAUAUUUUUACUGCAAGUAAGUUCAAUUCUUGAUUAUUUCUUGAAAUUUUUGUGUUUUUGUGACUUUUACAACUAGGUCCAUUUGUUGAAUUCAUUAGUUCUUGAUUCUAUGAAAGAAAUUAAAUGUUUCUAUGAAUAUGUGCUGGAAGUAUAUGAUGAUUUGAUAUAGAAUUAGAGCUUUAAAUUGUUUAUAUGCUGAUUUUAUUGAAAGAAUUGAAUAGAAAGUGAAUGUUUGGGACCUAAAUUGUAAAAGAGUUUGAAGUUAGAUUUUUAUGUGGAAAUUCUGAAUUUCAAUAGUUAUGAAAUAACUUAUAAUGUCUAGGAAAAGUAUUAAUUGAGAAAAUUAGUUUAAUUGAGGGGUUAAUUAAGUAAGGACUGAAUUGUAUGAACUGUGAAAUUUGGGGCAAAAUGAAAAUCAACAUUUUGCACUAAAACAGUUUUGGACAGCAGCAAUAGUCUAACUUUGAAAAAUCUCCAAAAAUUUUAGAAAUCUAAUUAGAGGAUGAAUAAAAUACGAAACUAAAACUUAUUUAGUCUAGUUUCUUAUAGAAGAAACGGUGUAAGCAAUGGAAUUAUAAAUAAUGAGAUAUAAUAAGUUUUGUGAGACAAUGUCAGAAUGAUUUCGGGUUCCCCUGUUCUGACUUUGGAAAAUCAUCAAAAAUUGGAGAAAAAUAAUUAAGGGAUUAAAUUUAUAUUUUUAAAAUCCUUAAAGAGUCUAUUUUCAAUAGAAAUAAGCGGGAACAUCAUCCGAAUCUCGUACGAUGAGAGAAUUAAUUCUUAGUGAAAAAGGGUCGGAACUGUCAGACAUCAGAACAAGGGCAACUUUAAAGAAUAAACUGUACUUAUUGGCUAAGCCAAAAAUUCUGAAAAUUUUAUGGUAAUAAGAUAAGUAAGUCUAGUUUCAGGGAAAAUUAGCGGAUCUUAAUUUCGAGUUCUUUAGCUUAAAAUAUAAAUAAUUUAGUGACUAUGAUGCAAAUGGACAGUUUUGAAUAUACAUAAGUAAAUAGUGAAAUUAUUGAUAAUGUUACUUGUUGCAUGUUAUAUAAAUUAAGGAUGUGGAAUGGAGAGAAGGAGGAGGAAAAUAUGUAUGAAUAUUCAGCUAGCAUGGCUAAUUUGUAUGUUUUAGGCUCAUGGACUAAAUUGAAUGAAAGUAAAAUUUUAUGGGCAAUUUUGUAAAAAAAAUGUUAGAAAUGACCAAUUUGCAUGAAAUGGAUUAUUUUAUUAUUUAAAUUACAAAAUUGAAUGAAACUAUUAAUUUAGCUCAAGAUCAGGGAAAAACAUGUUUUAAGGAUUAAAUUGAAAAGUGUUGAAAUUAUGGAAAAUUCUGACAUUUUAUAGAAUUCAUCGGUUGUUAUCAAUUUAUGUGAGAAUAACGGCUGGAAAUAAGGAUUAAAUUGCAAUAAUUUUAUUUUAAUUUAACCUAAGGAUGAAAUCGUCAUUAAUUAAAAGUUUAGGGGUAAAAUGAUAAUUUUGUUUAGAGCAUUAGUUGAACGUAUUAUAACAUGAAAUAAAUGAAAACGAUGAUCAAAUUUCUUUAUAAAGAUCCGGAUGACUUGAAUACGAUACUUGAACGUGGAAAAGAAAAGAUAUCGGAUUAAUGAAAUAUCUGAUAAAUGAAUCGGUAACUCCGGUAAUGCUCCGUAACUCUAUUCCGGUGACAGAUUCGGGUUAGGGGCGUUACACUUUGAACUCGGUAUGUGUUUAGAAGACCAAUAGCACUUUGUUGAUGCCCCAAUAUGUAGCACCCCUCCUUCUUGAUAAUUCAGAGAAGACAAAACUGUCGCAUGCCCCAUGUUCAAUCAAAAUUUGAAUUGCCCAUUCUUGGGUUUUCAAUUCAAACCCCUUUGGUCUCAAAGCGCCCUUUCACGGGUUUUCACCUUGGCCUCUCCGUUUUUUUUAGGUAAAAUACCUCUUGACUGAAUCCGAAUUUACAGGAUUAGGCAGGCUUUUACCAUCCAUCUCGGUCAAAAUCAGAGCCCCUCUGGAGAAAGCCUUCUUUACCACAUAAGGUCCCUCCCAAUUUGGCAUCCAUUUCCCUCUGAAGUCAUUUUGUAUGGGGAGGAUCUUUUUCAAUACGAGGUCUCCUUCAUGGAAUUCUCUAGGGCGAACCUUCUUAUUAUAAGCCCGCAUCAUUCUCUUUUGAUACAUUUGACCAUGACGGAUAGCCUUUAGCCUAUUUUCUUCAAUCAAGUUCAACUAGUCGUAUCGAGACUGGAUCCAUUCUACUUCAUCUAAUUUUAGUUCUGAAAGCACACGUAGAGAGGGAAUCUCGACCUCAAUAGGCAGAACUGCUUCCAUUCCAUAAACUAAAGAAAAAGGUGUUGCCCCGGUAGAGGUUCUGACUGACGUCUGGUAGGCAUAUAGGGCGAAUGGUAAUUUCUCGUGCCAAUCUUUAUAGGUCUCAGUCAUUUUUCCUAUGAUCUUAUUGAUGUUCUUAUUGGCUGCUUCCACUGCACCAUUCAUAUUUGGGGGAUAAGGUGACGAGUUAUGAUGUUUGAUCUUGAAUUAGCUGCAGACAUCCACUAUCGUGCUGUUGUUCAAGUUCAGUGCAUUGUCUGAUAUGAUCCUUUCAGGCAUCCAAUAUCGACAUAUGAUUUCUUUCUUUAAGAACUUACUGACUGUCGACUUUGUGACGUUGGCGUAAGAAGUAGCCUCUACCCACUUGGUGAAGUAAUCUAUGACCACAAAGAUGAAUUGGUGUCCAUUAGAUGCCUUCGGUGAGAUCGGCCCAAUGACAUCCAUGCCCCACAUGGAGAAAGGCCAUGGAGAAGUCAUGACAUGAAGGGGUAAAGGAGGUACAUGAAUUUUAUCUCCAUAAAUUCGGCAUUUAUGGCACUUCUUGGCAUAGUUGACGCAAUCUCCUUCCAUGGUGGACCAAUAAUAUCCGAAUCUCAUGAUCUGUCUGGCCAUGGUGAAACCAUUAGCAUGUGUUCCACAGACACCCUCAUGAACCUCUUCCAGGAUUUGCUUAGCCUCGACAGCGUCUACACAUCUUAAGAGUACCUGAUCAUUCCUUCUCUUGUAUAGGAUCUCUCCAUCCAAGACAUAGUCACUAGCCAGCCUUAUUAGUGUCCUUUUAUCAUUCUCAGUCCAUUGAUCUGGGUAUUCACGACUCUUCACAUAUCGUAAAAUAUCCUGGUACCAAGGAUGAUCAUCUUUCUAUUAUUCUUCUUCAAUGUUGCAGCAAUGAGCCGGAGCCUCAUAAAUACUCAUUUGGAUAGGCUUCAUAUUCUCUUGUUUAUUCAUUUUGAUCAUAGAAGCUAAGGUUGCCAAAGCAUCAGCCAUCUGGUUUUCGUCUCGUGGAAGGUAGUAGAAAGUGAUAUCGUCAAACUCCUCUAUUAACUCAAGAACCAGCCUUCGGUAAUUGAUCAACUUAGGUACUCUUAUCUCCCAUUCACCUUUAAGCUGAUAGAUCACUAAUGCAGAAUCCCCAUAUACCUCUAGUGCUUUAAUCUUACGUUCUAUUGCUGCACGAAUUCCCAUGAUACAUGCUUCGUAUUCGGCCAUAUUGUUUGUGCAAUCAAAAUCUAAUUUACUGGUGAAAGGACAAUGAUCUCCACUUGGGGAUACCAAAACUGCCCCAAUUCCGUUCCCCACAGCAUUGGAAGCUCCAUCAAAAUUCAACUUCCAGGGGUGGCCUUCUUGAGAGUCUUCUUCCAUGGUUGCCACGUACAUUAGAUCCUCAUUUGGGAAGUCAAAUCUUAACGGUUCAUAAUCUUCUAGAGCUCUUCUGGCUAGAAAAAUCUACUAUUACACUCUCCUUUAUAGCCUUUUGGUUUACGUAGACUAUGUCAAACUCAGAAAGCAAAAUUUGCCAACGAGCCAUUCUUCCGUUCAAAGCAUUUGACUCCAUCAUGUACUUCAAAAGGUCUAGUUUUGAGAUGAGCCAAGUUGCAUGGUACAACAUGUAUUGUCUCAAUCUUCAGGUUGUCCAAAUCAAAGCACAACACAACUUCUCGAUCGACGAAUAUCUUGUCUCACAUUCAGUGAAUUUCUUGCUGAGAUAGUAUAUCGCUUUUUUUUUUCUUAUUAACUUGUCAUGUUGGCCCAACACGCAUCCCAUAAAGUUUUCAAACACUGUCAAGUACAGUAUCAAUAUUUUAUCCGGGCAAGGUGGCAUCAGUACUGGGGCACUGGACAAAUAAAGUUUGACCUUAUCAAAAGUUUUCUGGCACUCCUCAUUCCAAACACCUGGAUUAUGCUUCCUAAGGAGACGGAAUAUAGGGUCACGUUUCCCCGUUAGUUGUGAGAUGAAACGGGCGAUGUAAUUCAGUCUUCCUAAGAAACCUCAAACUUCUUUUUGAGUGCGCAGCAGAGGUAAUUCUUGUAUAGCCUUGACUUUAUCCAGGUCAAUCUCGAUCCCUUUUUCAUUGACCACGAAUCUCAACAACUUUCCUGAUCUGGCCCCGAAGCUGCACUUUGAGGGAUUGAGCUUUGGUUGGAACUUCCUUAACCUUAAGAAUAGUUUCCUAAGGACUUACACAUGCUCCUUCUCUGUUUUGGAUUUCGCAAUCAUGUCAUCAACAUAAACUUCAAUCUCCUUGUGCAUCAUGUCAUGGAACAAAGUUACCAUGGCUCUUUAAUAUGUUGCUCCUGCGUUUUUCAGUCCGAAUGGCAUCACCUUAUAACAAAACGUUCCCUACAUGGUCACAAAUGUUGUCUUUUUCAUGUCUUCAGGAUGUAUUUUUAUCUGGUUGUAUCCUAAGAAGCCGUCCAUGAAGGAGAAAAGUGAAUAACCUGCCGUGUUAUCCACUAGUGUAUCAAUGUGAGGCAAUGGGAAAUUGUAUUUUAGGCUGGCUUUGUUCAAAUCCCGAUAAUCCAUGCACAUCCAUACCUUCCCAUCUUUCUUAAGAACUGGGACUAUGUUGGCUACCCAUUCUCAGUACUUGACCACUUGUAAGAAACCAGUGUCGAAUUGCUUCUUGACCUAUUCCUUUAUCUUUAACAAAACAUUGGGUCUCAUCUUUCGGAGUUUCUGUUGUACUGGCCUGCAUUCUUCCUUUAUGGGGAGUCGAUGUACCAUGAUAUCAGUAUUCAAUUCGGGCAUGUCUUGAUAUGACUAUGCGAAGGCAUCCUUGAAUUCCUGGAGUAACUCGAUGAGGUCUUACUUUGUUUCUACAGCGAUACUAGCUCUAAUUUUCACCUCUUUUCCUUCUCCUAAACUAACAAUUUCCACCGAAUCUUUGUGAGGUAGGAUUUGUUUCUCCUCUUGCUCUACCAUCCUUAACAAAUCAGGAGAUAAGUUACAAUUUCGGUCAUCUUCAAAAUCCUCAGUGUCCUCCAUACACAAAUCUUGCUCGAAAGGAAUCUCUGAGUCAUUGGCAACGUUACUCAUAUCAUUGAUAUCUAGAGACCUGUUAUGGAUGAAGAAAGAAAUCCAAAGAAUAAAAGAAUCUAAGAAUAUUUUAUUUGUGUGGUAUGAUUAUGAAUGAAGUAGAAAGAAUAAAUGAAUAUUUGCUUAAUAUGAUACGCAAGAAUGCAUUUUUAUUGAAAUGACGAUAUUUGGACAUAUGUAAGGGUUCUUAUUGCCCCUAGGCAUAGAGCAAUAAUCUUGUUUUGAACAUUACUCUAAGUUAAUUCUAAAAGUUACAGGGAUCUCCUCCACGGUCCAAUUGUUCAAAACACUUCCAGGAAUGUAAGGGCAAAUUCCAGAUAAAUCCCCUUCUUCGGUUCUUUCUUCAGAUAUGGCGUUAAUGCUCUAACUUCCCAACAUUUCUUCUGCCACUUUCUGCAUUGUCAUCUCUUGUUUUGGAUGGAUAGUUCCUCCGGACACAAACGUUCAGGAUAAAUGUGGAAAGGUCAUGGGUUCUCAUUUGACCUCCUUACCGCGCAAACGUGCUCUUCUCAUCUCUUGCUUUUUCUCCAGCUCUUUCUUCUUUUGCUUCGCGUCUGCCUUAAAUUCUAAGCCAAAGCGGUCUCAUUUUUCUUUUAGCAUCGGUAUCUUGCUCCUUCCUUGGAGGCAUCUUCCAAGUCCUCUUCCUGGCAGGACUCAUUCGCCGACCGUCAAUCGCAGGCCCAUCCUCGUAGCUUUGGAUAUUUUGGGCAUUGGGAUCUUGUUUCCUUCAACAAUAAAUGUAGCAUUGACGAAUUCCAACAAUCAAAAGGAACCUCAUCGUCCGUACCCACGUACGGUGCGUCACUGAUAACGGAUGCAAUGAUGUCUUCCUCCGCGUUUAUCGUUACCAACCUACCCUCAGUUACCAACUUCAAUUUUUAGUGUAGGGACAACGGCACUGCCCCUGCCGAGUGAAUCCACGGCCUCCCCAACAGGAAAUUGUAUGAUGGCUUGAUGUCCAUUACCAAGAAGUCCACCUCGUUUGUAUUUGGGCCAAUCAAGAGAGGCAUCACGAUCCUUCCCAUCACUUUUCUUUUCGUACCGUCGAAUGCUCUCACGAUGUUUUGACAUGUCUUCAUGUGAGAGUUAUCUACUGGCAAUCUAUUUAACGUGGACAAGGGCAUGACAUUCAAUGCUGAUCCAUUAUCAAUCAAUACCCCCGGCAAUGUGUAUCCCUUGCAACGAGUGGUAAUGUGUAAGGCCUUUGUAGAUCCCAUGCCUCCCGGUGGUAUUUCAUCAUCAUUAAAGAAAAUAAAAUUAUCCGCGCAGAUGUUGUUGACCAAACGAUCGAGCUUGUUGACGGAUAUAUCAUCCGCAACAUAUGUUUCAUUUAAAACCUUCAUCAAUGCACUUCGGUGAGUCUCUAAGCUCAAGAGCAAGGCUAAUACCGAUAUGCGGGCUGACUAUUUGUGUAACUGUUCCACAAUGCUGUACUCGCUGUGUUUUAGGAAUUUUAAGAAUUCCUUAGCCUCAUUUUCAGUUACAGGCUCAUUGACAGGUGAUUCAGGUCCGGUUGUCUUUUCCUUUUCUCGUUCAACGACCACGAAUUUUCCUUUAGCUGGUUUGGCCUUUGGUUCGGAGUAUAACGCCUUCCGCUGCGUGUAUAGAAACCCUCGUCUUAACCUUUCUCUGAAGUGCCAACUGGAUUCUCCCCUCCCGGGAUCGUUACGUUGCAGUCGUAAUUCCAAUGAACCCUUUUGCUAUCCUUAUAAGGGAAAGCAACGGGCUUUUGAAUUAUGACCUUUGGCGCAAUUGGUACUCCGACUUCAUUGACUCUUGGUCAGGAUAUAAUUACAAUCGGUGAUUGACCCCUGGGACAUUGUUGGUUGGCCCUUGCUUUGACGUGCACACAUCUUCUCCCUUCGGGCCCUCGGUGUACUCAAAGAAUUCGAUCUCUUUAUUUUCUAUCAAUCUCUGUACUAGAGCCCUGAAUUCAUUGCACUUUUGGAUCUCACGCCCUUCCUUGUAGUGGAAUUCACAGUAGUACUUCCCUCUUUCAGGCUUCUCCUUUAAACCUUGUAUAAGUAAACCUUCUUUCACCAUUUUUUUCCAAACCCAUCUUAACGGGGUCUUUACCUCCGAUACGUCCAUCUUAGUUCUCCUUCCUCCACUUUCGUUUAUCGCGUUUACCUCAUUGUCUGAAUGACUGGGUAACGGAUUUCCCGCCACAUUAGGUUUUGUGGGAUCAUUGAACUUCACAAUGCCCAUCUUUAUGAACCUUUCGACUAAUUUUUUGAAGGCUGCGCAGUUCUUAAUUGUGUGCCCCACAAUUCCUGCAUGGUAUUCGCAUUGUGCGUUUGCAACAUAUCAUUUUGGGAAUGGAGGUUGCAUCAUAUCAUCCUUUGACAGAACAUACUAAUAUAAGCUUCAGGGCAGCUCGUUCCAUUAUACUUUUCAAAUUCUGGGGUUUUAAAUUUUGGUAGGAGCACCAGGUCUAGGACCAAGCUUAAGUCCUUAGCGUCGAUCUCGCCACGAUAAUCAGCAGUCUCCAUUGCUUUAAAUUUUUUUUCAAGCCAUUUACAAUGAUCAUCGAGUUGUUUUGUCAGGUUUACUUUUUCUUUCUCCAUUUCCACCGCGUCGUCAAGGUCCGGUACAAAUGGAUUAGCUGGAUUAUCUCCAGGCUUAGAGCUCGAACCUAUAGGAAUGUUCAUUUGUGUAGAGGCAUUGGCCUGGUAUUAUUGGGGCCUGAUAAUGACAGGUACUGUUCGUGGGUGCACCUUCGGUUGUGGUUGAGUGUUUACCGGAGUAAAGUCUGGAGGGAAGAUAGGGUCUUCAUUGUCGUUCCCCAUAGUGCUCUUUCCUUUUUCGCGUUCUCUAGCCUGCAACUGCGCCAACUGGCCUAUCAGAUUAUUUUGGGAUUCUUCCAUUUUUUCCUUCAUAUAUUGUUGUAUCUUAACCAGUUGCUCUUGCAUCUGCGCUUGUAAUUGUUCUUGUAUUUCUCUUUGCAUUUGUUCUAUCCUUUCUAAUCUCUGAUCCAUUGCUUUGGUUUUACGACGGGUAUAGUAGCUGUGUUCGGUUGGUUGAUUCUCGUUGGUUUCCAGAUUAACUAAAAUAAUUUUGUUUAAUCAGGGUUUUUUCGUGAAAUUUAAUGCACAUGAUGAAAUGUAAUGCAAAUGAAUGAAUGCAAAAAAGAGGCGUUUAUUCCAAUUCAAUUUCAUUAGAAGAAAAAUUUCUUUACAUAGAACGAAUGAUUACAUAUACGACUUUGCCCUAAUGCCCAAAGCCUUAACUUUCCUAAGAAGCCAAGCUAAGUGCCGGCCUCGCUCUGAUUCCGACUCGUACUUUAAGCUCAAUAUAUCUGCUUGGACUACCAAGGUUUGCAAGUGAUCAGCUACCUCCCGAACCUGAGCCACAGCUUCGCCCAUGACAUAGUCUCUAUCUUUAAUCUGGUUUUGAGAGCGGAGAAGUUGUUCCCUACAAUGGUCGUUGUUUACCUCAAGAAGUUCUACUCAGAUUUUGCUAUCUCGCAGUGCAGUCUCGAGUUCCUCUACUUUUCCCUUUAACUCUUCGAUCUUGCUCAGAUUGGCCUUCAGCUCAAUUACCGAAUUACGGCUACGAUGUUGAUGUAGUGAUCUUUCCAAUUCAGCCACCCGAGCUCGUAACUUCUCCUUUUCGUUUUGGCUUUCUAUCAAACUCUUCUUCAGAGUGUCCUCUCAUACUCGGGCAUCUUGAAACCUUUUAUCCCAAUGGUCGGCUCUAGUCUUUUCCUCUUUGAUCUCUUGACGCCAUUGCUCUGACGCUUUACCUAAACUGGCAGUUCUUAUCGACAUACGCAGUUUAUUGUAAUCGAUUUUCAGACUAUCUAAAUCUUCCUCGGCCUUGUUCUUUCUUUUCCUUAACUUUUCGGCCUCUAGCUUGUGGAUAUCGACGUCUAACCCCAACUUCAUUUUCUCUUCUUCUAGCUACUCUAUCUUCUUUCCUAACUCUGAGUUCUUUUUCUCAAAGUUUUGUUUAAUGAUCUCUAACUCGGAUGGGAUGACUCAUAAAUGCUUCUCUAUCGGUUGAGUGUUCCCUUGAUUCAGCCUAGGGAUGUUGUCGUUAACUCUCCAACCCCACCACCAUUCAUACUCGAAGGUCGUCAUCGGGCUUGUGGUGAAUCCUUUCAUUCUUCGAGUUUGGUUCCAAGCAUCUGAUAUCUCACGAACUUUUUUCUUAUAACCGUCAUCCUUAUAAGAGAACUCACAUUGAGCUAACCCUUGUGUCACCGGUAUAAACUGCCUUGAUCGGUACUGCCUUAACACUAUCAGCGGGGCGUAUUCAAUGGCUCCCCAUAUUCCAGCCAGAGGGACCCAGUUAAAAUCACUGCACCUAUAAGAUCUCGUCAGGAAUCAACCACGGAGCCCUCCAUUCAACAUCUUCGGCCCGUAAAUUUUGGAGAAUAAUUAUCCAUUUCUCUUCUGAAAUGUCGUCUCUCCUCGAUGUGGCCACUAAUUCUCUUAAUGGAGAAUAAUCCUUAGAGAAUACCCGAUAGGAGACCUUCUCCACCUUCCAAAAAUGACUGUAGAACCAAGCCAAAAGAAACUGUGCAUAACCAAUAAAUCUUUUCUCGCCCGCUCUUCGGCAUGCAUUCAAGGAUCGAAAAGUUUCUGCUAGGAUUGCCGGGACGGAUGUGGUACCUUUAUCAAGUCGAUCGAAUAAAUCCGAGACGGCUUCAUCUAUGUGUCCGAGUGGCUUAGGAAAAACGAUCAAACCGUAGAGGCUUAAGGCAAAAACAUCAACCCUUUUCUUCGAAUCCGGGUGCGCAAGAAUCAAGUCCCUCAAAUUCCUCUAAGGAAUACACUUACUAUCCCCUUUUUGCUUGAUGUGGGCUGCAACCUAUUGCUCGCUCAUCCCCGUUAUAUUCAUCAACUUCUUCAAAAAAUGAGGGAUGUUGACAGGUCUUGAAUAGGCCCUAUCGGCCUGAAACUUCGGGCAAUUAAGUAACGCCAUGUAUUCCUCCAUAAUAGGUACUAAAUCAAUUCAUCCGAAGGUGAAGCAACUGUAAGCGGGGUUCCAAAAUUGUGCAAGGCCCGGAACAAGUACUUGUCCACCUUUACAUCAAGCAAAUAGGGUAGGUCGCCAUAGUUACAGUAAAAUAGUUGUUUGACUUCGCCAUUCCAACUAUUCCAUAUAUCCCUUAACUCUUGCAGGUCGUUCUGAGUUACACUAAUGCGAGUGAAAUCCCACAACUCUGACUCAUAUCCCUCGGUCAAACUAUCUCCUUUCUCUUGUUGCGUUCUCUCAGACCACACUCGAACGGUUGCAUUAUCCUCCACUCUAUCAAGAAAUCCUUUUUCCAUGCUAAACUCUCCUAUUUAGUAACCGAAUCGUAAAUCAACACCCUUUUUUAUGAGAUGUCAUGUGAAAACAAUCAAAAUGCAACAAGUCAGUAUUAUAUACACAGAAUAGAAUUCAAAACAAAUAAGGAGUAAAUAAGCACCUAAUCGGGUGACCACUAGGGUUCGGUGUGGUUCUACCUGGGGUAGGCUCUUAGGGCUCAUUACAUGUGGUUCGGUUCUAAAGUAAAGGUACCUGAACUAGCAGAUUCCUCGAUCCUCACCCAUUAUAGGCUCGUAUGGACCGAGUUCGAUUCAGGGGAAUACAUUUCCUUACGGCUAUACAGAGAUAAAAACCUCGCGAAUACGCAGGUACGGAUGUAUCCCGAAAGCGAUCCACUACCCUAUACAGAGGUGAAGACCUCACGAAUGAGUAUUUUCUCACUUCCACUUAAGAGGGUGAAAUUGACAGGUAAUGCAAUGCGAUAUGCAGAGAUACAGAAUUAAACCACUUAAAGCAACAUAUUAUGAAAAACGCCACGAAAGUAACAGACAACAUACAAUGCAGUAAAUUUAAAACCGAUUUUCAAUUUUCAACAAAAGACAAUAAAUAAUCAAUUUAAGGCUCGACUCUCGAAGUCCUCAGUGGAGUCGCCAAGCUGUCGAAACCAUUUUUUACAAACGAGAUCGACUUGAUUUUGAAAACGAAAAUUAAAACGGGAGUUACCACCGAUCCUUAUUAGGUGUGAUCGGAUCACCUUUGUUUUAAUAAAACAUUUUAGUUUACUAAAACAGUGUUUUGGUCUACGAAUUUUAAGAGAACAAGUUCGGGAGUCGAUUACGUGCGAGGAAGGAUUAGCUCCCCCGACACGCCCAAGAAUUGGUACCGAAUUGAUUAGUUAGUGUCUUAAUGUCGAAAAUCAAAAAUCGAGAAUGAAUUUGAAAUACAAUCUUUUCAAUAAAUAUCGAUUUUAAAAUUUUUGAAUUAGCUCAAAACAAUUUGUUUAAAGAUUUCCUUAUCUCAAGAUAUCGGAGUAUCACAUCCUGUAUGUUAGAACACAAUACCAUGAAUUCCCGAGCACAAGGUCGUCUUUUAAUUUAAAUGAGAGUUUCGUGUAUUUUAAAACUCGAAAAGGAUAUUUAGCUAUUUAGAAAUAACGAGAAAAUCGAAACCCAGUAAGUUAAGGCACAAUUCCUCGAUAUCUCAAAAUGCAUAACAUUGCCUUAUUUGGGAAAUUUUAUUUUUGAAUAGUAGCGAAUGUAAUAUUUAAAACAACAAGUGUUAUUUAUUUAGGUUAAAAUAAGGUGAUUUAUUGGAUAAAUACAUUGGGGUUUAAUUCGCGAGGCAAAUAUAUGAGAUACGAUGAUAAAUGAGUAUAAACAAUAAUACAUGGAUGACGUCACGUAAAAAUACAACAAUAAGGUGAAAAUGCAAGUGAACAAUUUAUGAUACAUGCGAUGACAAUAAUGGCUCACAUACAUCAUUCACAUACUAACAUUAACGAUUAAUGAACAAAAACAUAUAUUGCAAUCUAAAAAAUAUAAAUAGUAUAAAGCAAGUCAAAUUGAAUAAAGUAUAAAAACUAUAUAUAUUAAAAAAAACUAAUAGACCAGUUUAAAAAUAAAUAAAAUAAAAGAUGAAAUUCUUUUAAAAUCAAUAAUGUAUAAAGCGAUUUAAGAAAAAAUAAUACAUAUAAUUUUUUAGAACCAAUAAUAUAUGUACAUAAAAGCAUACUACGGGUAAUAUAAGAAAGUCCUAUAAUAAAUAAUAAAUAGAAUGUUUUAGAAUAAACAAAUGGAAAUUUGAAAGGUAUAUGAAAACAAUUUAAACUAAUGAAAUAAAUUUUAAAUAAAUAAUGCAAAAGAUGAUUUUUUUUUUUAAAAAGGUACUCUUAAAGUAUAAAUAUGGUGGUUUAUAAAUUGCUAUGAAUAAUGUUUUCGGCAUAAGAUAAAAUAAUAUAAAAUAUACAAUAAAAAAAUACAAUUUAACACAUCAUUUAAUAUUUAAAACAAACAUGCAAACUAAAAGGCAAGCAGUUUACAAAAGGGAACAUAAAAUAAAUAAUUAAUAUAUAUAUAUAUACAUUCAACAUUAUUGACAUAUAACACUUGGAAUAAACAAACAAAUAAAAUAAAUUUAAGAUAAAUAAAUAAAUGAACAAUGUGACAAAUCUUAUAAGUAACACAUGAAAUUUUAAACUAAAUAAAUAUAACAUCUGAAUAGUCAGCAAAUAAAAUGUAUAAUAACAUGAUAAAACAAUUUGGAAUAAAAGGGUGAGGACUAAAUUAAAAUAAAAAUGAAAUAAAAAACGGGUAUAAAUUAUAAAAUAGAAAACUGCCAGGGACUAUAUUGAUAUACGCGCGAUGAAACAGGGGUCAACUGGGAAAUUACCCCAACCCUUAAUGCGCUGUGUUUCAAUGUUGAGUCCAGGGAUCAAAUUAGAGAUGGAAUAAAAAUAAUCGGGCUAAAUUUAAAAGAAAAAAUAACAAAUCUGGACUAAAUCAAAUAUCAGAAAAAGGAGAAGGGACCAAGGCGGGAAAUUUCCCAUUUAAAGAAAAAAGGCGGAUCCCCCCGGAUACGGGUCGAGUCGCGAACGGGCACACUUAAAACGAUGCCGUUUGGGCACUUAGGUCACCCUUCAAAACGCUGCCGUUUCAUGCAGCAGAUUUAAGCCCAGAUUUUUUUAAAAAAUUUCAUUUUUACAGUCCAUUUUGCAGAAAAUUCCAAAAUCUCUUCUUUUUUUUUUUAGGGUUUUAAAACCCCCCAUUUUCGCCUCUUCCAUGGCCAACCAUGGAUUCCCCGGCGAUCCUCCAUGCCCAUGCCACGAAUCGGUGACCGGUACUACACGAGGUGGGCUCCCUUUGGUCCUCCUCCGAACGGAGGUCGAAGACGGAGCCUUCGCGGCCCACCACGACGGAAGAGACGAGGAAAGGCCCCGGGAGGUUCGUCGGAGCACCUCAAGCAGUGAAUCGGAGGUACCUUUUUUAUUAUUCGUAUUUUUUAUUACUGUUUUGUGUGUAAAAAAAUAAAAAAGAAAUAAAGAAGAAAGCAAAUCUCAGUGGAAAAGAAUGAAAAUCGAAACUCAACAAUAAUCACCUUUUGAAAUCGUUUAUUCUUUUGAUUAAUUUUGUUUGGUAAAUGUCUGUAACCGUUUACAAAGCAUAGAUUUCGGCUUUUAAAGCCAAUCUAUCAACCGUUCACUUCCUUUUUUUUGUUCUUUUGUUCAUUAUUUUCUUUUGCAUGCUCUCUGUUGUUGCAUCUGAUUUGAUUGCAGGUGUCAGAGGCCGACGGUUGGCUGGUGAGAAGGCGAGGCAGCGCGUGUGGAGGAGGCCGAACGGCGCCUAGGGUUUCCCUCUUCUCCUUUGGCUGAAAAAUGUUUAGGAUAGUUGGGCUAGUUGGGCUUCAGGGUUUUCUUUUAAUUGGGUAUUGGGUAAUUUGUUAUUUGGGCUAGGUGUAAUGGACUCUUGGACUUUUAUUUGUUUAUUGUAUUUUGGGUCUUAUUUUGGUUUGUUGGCAUGGGCCAAAAUUGGCUAUAACAACUUUUAUGUUCUGUUGCAACAAAUUUAAGUGCAAUUUCUACAAGCAAACAAGCCAGGUUGAAUUAUAGUUUGUUUACAACAAAACACUUAGUAAAUAUUUCGACAAUCAUAAUUAACCAAA